rnacentral:lncRNA from 1 species
AAUUUAAUAAUUUAUUAUUUACUUUAUAUUUCAAUGUCAAUUAAUUGGACAAAAUAAUUUUAUUUUAAAUUAUAAUUAUUCUUAUUCCCGUUAUUCUAAUAUAAUCAUCCAAACACUAUUAUUUUUUAUACCUAGAGACAAUCCAGUUUUCAUACAAACGUAAAAUUAGUUUUGCUCAUACUUAUUUUUGAAGUUAUAACUAUUUCAAGAAUAAACAAAUUUUGUGUAUUUCUGAACCAAACGAUUAUUAGAGAAU